CUCUCUCUCUCUCUCUCUCUCUCUCUCUUGUGAAUGAUCUCUGUUUGUUGUUUCUCCAGGAUAAUGUUCCUCAGAUCAACACUGCUGGAGUUUGUGCCAGAGGUGGUCUGUUCGUAGGACUACCAGACGAGAUUCCCAGGAGCUCCAUCCUCAGUGAGACUGCUCUGCAGUUCUACAUCACUCAGUUCAAAGACAAGGGAUUCAGAGGGCCGUUGAACUGGUACCGUAAUGUUUGUGAGCAACUGGAAAUGGCUAUGCUCCCGACCCAGGGCUAAGCUCUUGAUGCCAGCUCUCAUGGUGACAGCUGGUAAAGAUCAUGUCCUGCUGCUGUCUUCUCCAAGGGGAUGGGAACCAUGGUGAGACACACACACACAUAUUUAUACACACAUGUAUACAUGUAAUUGACACGUGUGACUGUGACAUCUCUGUGUGUCAGAUCCCCAACCUAACA